CCUACGGGUGGCAGCAGUGAGGAAUAUUGGUCAAUGGGCGCAAGCCUGAACCAGCCAAGUAGCGUGAAGGAUGACGGCUCUACGGGUUGUAAACUUCUUUUAUAAAGGAAUAAAGUUAUGCACGUGUGUCUUUUUGUAUGUACUUUAUGAAUAAGGAUCGGCUAACUCCGUGCCAGCAGCCGCGGUAAUACGGAGGAUCCGAGCGUUAUCCGGAUUUAUUGGGUUUAAAGGGUGCGUAGAUGGGUUGUUAAGUCAGUUGUGAAAGUUUGGGGCUCAACCGUAAAAUUGCAUUUGAUACUGGAAGUCUUGAGGACAGUUGAGGUAGGCGGAAUGCGUGGUGUAGCGGUGAAAUGCUUAGAUAUCACGAAGAACUCCGAUUGCGAAGGCAGCUUACUAAUCUGCAACUGACAUUGAUGCACGAAAGUGUGGGGAUCAAACAGGAUUAGAUACCCGAGUAGUC
rnacentral:rRNA from 1 species